AAUGGAGUAAACCCAGUGAUUUCCACCUGCAGCUGGUUGAAUGAGUUCCCUAUGAGAGGCUACUUCAUCUGCAAGAAAACAGGCGGCCGCACCAGUUUCCUCAUAUGAAAUUAAAAGGGUCAGUGGUCUAAAAUGAGUCUCUCUGGGGAGAGAGAGG